ACAAAAUCAAAUCAGGAAAGGAAAAACUGAAAAUCAGGGAAAAAUAAUUCAAACACAUAAUCAAUAAAAAAAACAAUUAAUACAAAAAAACGAAAUUAUUACAAAUUAUUUCAAUUGCCAAAAAAAAAACCCAAAAGCUCUUGAAACAAUUCGACUUUCUGUAAACCUCCAUCAUCGUUCUUCGUGAAGUCGCUCCCACACACAUUUCACAAUAUUUAAGAUUUUAAGUUGGGUUUGAAGUUCAUAACGAGAAACAAUAACCAACAACAUACGGUUAUAAUUUUGAUUUUAAGUUGGGUGUUAAUUUUACCAAGGCAAACAAUCUCUACUACAAAAGG